ACCGUCGCGAGACGGGGUCUGAAAGAAGCGGAAGCCGAGGCGGGGUGGCGAUGGACAAGAACUCGAUAUGAGGCGUGAUGCAUUCGGGACGAGCGGGCACGUGACCGCGAAGUCCUCUAUCUGCGAGGGGAUGCAUUUUGUAAAUCGAGCGUUUCAUGCCGCGAACGUCAUGGGU
rnacentral:ncRNA from 1 species